GAAGCCGAUCAGGCAAUCGCUGCUGCCGGGUCUUUCGGGACGCGCGCAGGAGAGGAAAGUCCGGGCUCCACAGAGCAGGAUGCCGGCUAACGGCCGGACGCAGCAACCUGUAUGUCGCAAGGCAUAGAGGCCAAGGCGAGGAAUAGGGCCACAGAGACGAGCGUAUUAAGUUACGGUGAAACGCGGUAACCUCCAUCCGGAGCAACACCAAAUAGGCAGGCGAUGAAGCGGCUCGCUGAGUCUGCGGGUAGGUGGCUGGAGCCGGUCAGCAAUGGCCGGCCUAGAGGAAUGG
rnacentral:RNase_P_RNA from 1 species